rnacentral:tRNA from 1 species
AUAGGGAAACGUGAGGAAACUCCCGGAAAGGACGGCCCCUUGCAUGGCAUGCAAGAGGUCAGCGGUUCGAUCCCGCUUAGCUCCACCA